rnacentral:rRNA from 1 species
GGGGGAUAACCUUCGGAAACGGACGCUAAUACCGCAUACGUCCUACGGGGGGAAGCGGGGGACCUUCGGGCCUCGCGCCAUUAGAUGAGCCUAGGUCGGAUUAGCUAGUUGGUGAGGUAAUGGCUCACCAAGGCUACGAUCCGUAACUGGUCUGAGAGGAUGAUCAGUCACACUGGAACUGAGACACGGUCCAGACUCCUACGGGAGGCAGCAGUGGGGAAUAUUGGACAAUGGGCGAAAGCCUGAUCCAGCCAUGCCGCGUGUGUGAAGAAGGUCUUCGGAUUGUAAAGCACUUUAAGUUGGGAGGAAGGGUAGUAACUUAAUACGUUGCUACUUUGACGUUACCGACAGAAUAAGCACCGGCUAACUUUCGUGCCAGCAGCCGCGGUAAUACGAAGGGUGCCAAGCGUUAAUCGGAAUUACUGGGC